UAGGGUGAGGCGGUCCUGUGUGCGCUCGGGGUGGGGAACGUCCUCAGAGGACGAGUCCACGGGAUGAGCUGGGACCGAUGCCCAGCAAGGACUCACAGGUGCCCCCAACUCACCCUGUGGCUUCGUUCCUCAGAUGUGGUCAAACCUGGACACUGUCCAGAGUUCCCACUCCGCUGCCCUUUCACGAUGAUACCGCUGUGCCGGCGCGAUAGAAUCUGCAAGAAGGACAAGAAGUGUUGUUUCUACAACUGUAGAUAUCAGUGUUUAGUGCGGUGGGAGAGUCUGGAUUGAGGUAGAAAUCCCUUCUUACCGGGGCCUGAGAAGACACUGGUAGAACAGGCUCCGACUCGGAUAACUGGUCUCCAAUUCUUCCCUGUUCUCCUCACCCCCCAGACUUCCUUUAUCAGAGUUCAAUGCUUAUUACUAUGAAAGCAACACAAAGAAAUAAAGUGCUAUCUACCUGA